CCGAAAAAUCUAAAUUAAAUUCCGUGGAUUUUUAGAAUUGAUUUCACGAUAGUGGGAGCGAGUACGAGGCUUGGAGAAGUUGUGGAAUUAGUUCGAACGAUUAAUUUUCGAAAACGAACGUUAUUUAGGGGCUCGCGAAAGUUGACUUUUUAUACGUUCAAAAUUUGGGAAAACUUCCUUCAUGAAAGUUGUAGAGCUCGUCGAUACGAUCGCGGGCAUAUGCGGAACGCAAAAAUCGGAGUUCGUAUGAAUUAGUUAUGAUUUUUUGAAAAAGUUUCCAAUUUAGUAUAAAGCUUCCAUUUUCGGAAAUUUCCGAAAAUAGUUUCAGAAUUUACAAAAAUAGAAAAAAAGCUGCUGCAGCCCUCGUCCCCGCCGGAAAUCGCCUCCGAUUUUCGUUUGGCCAUAUCUUCCUCCUCCGGCCACCGAUCCUCACCAAACUUCUUCCAUUGGCUUCGUAUGGUCCUUGCGCACCUGUCUGUGGCAGCCUUGCACGGCGGCACGGCCCCUAGCGGCGGCGGCGGUCCGGUUUCGAUUUAAGCUCGAUUUUGGUCAACGCCGGUUUUCUCCUAGCUCCGGCCACCAAAACUUCCGAUCCUUGGCUCCAUGAACUCCCCUCAACCUGCUGAUCAUCAUACUAGGAGGAUUGCACCUAGAGUGACCGGUUUCACGUUCGUCGGAGCUCGUGAGUUCUCCUUGAUGUUCUUAACAACUCUCUAGAAGGGAUCGAAGCCUGAAAUUGAAGUUUUGACGUCGAAAUCAAGCCUUGCCGGAUUCUGCAAAUUUCGCCGGAUUCUGGAAAUUUUCCGGCCACCUCGACUGUUUUAGGUGAUUGACGGAUCGAUUUGGCGGACAAUUUGUGAAAUUGUUGUUGAGCUGUUAAGAAGAUGCAGCUGGAUUAGAGGUGAGUAAAAUCGCACAUGGUUCCUUCAUGAACCGAAAUUUAGUGAUUUAUAUUGAAUUAUAAAGGUGUGGAAAAUUGUUUUAAGAAAAUAAAGAUUUGUUUUGAAAUAAUAUGAACUUGAUCGACUACGGUUCAUAAGGCUACUACUCACAGGUAAGGAAAAUGAAUUUAAGUAUAAAAAUGAAUUUCUUGUUUUUAUUGCAUGUGAACUAUAGAUGGUAUUAGUAGUCACUCUUGUGUAGGUGAUUACGUAUAUAUAUAUUGAAAGUUAUGACAUUGUGUGAUGUAUUGAGUUGUUCGUGAUAAAGAGUAGUUGAGUAAAGUGCGAUAGUUGAAAUGUGUAGACGAAUUAUAUGUUAGUGUCAAGUGUUCUCAUCGUGUGUCGAUGAUGGUGUCAAGUAUUCUCAUCGUGUGUCGAUGAUUGUGGCAAGUGUUCUCAUCGUGUGUCGAUGAA